rnacentral:lncRNA from 1 species
GAAAGGAGGAGAACCUUCAGUCCCAAGACAGUCUCAACCCCAGAGAAGGCAGAUUGUAGGGUAAAUUGUUAAAGGAGUUGCUUCCAGGGAGUUGCUGUAGGGUAUUUUGGCAGUCAGUUUGACAGAUCAGUCUGCUAACCAGAAAAUGCUUCAAAGUCAGACAGAAAUCACAGACAGCAAAAUAUAUCUUAGAAAAGCAUUCAGCUUCUCUGAAUCUACCUUUUAAUGUAAUGGUUAAUUUCUCAUGUCUUUCACUGUAAUGGCAUUCUUGCUUCUUUUUCUUUUUUUUUUUUUUUUUUAAAUAUAUAUAUUUUUAAAUACGUAGACAGUGCCUGAGAAUGUCAUCCUAUUUUUAUGAGAGAGAAUCCUAGGUACGGGUACUGGGCCUACUGACAGCUCCCAGGGCCAACUACAAGAUGAGUGAGAGGCCAAUAAGCACUGCUUCACCAGGUCAGGUGGCUGCCCAGGGGCCUCAUAGCACAUGGGACAAGGGCUGGCUACAAGCUACUCUUCACUGGCCAGUCCUCACUCUUCCACCAAUCUUUCUGGGCCGUGCCUCACUCACAAAGUCUCCCCAAAAUGUGAAGAAGCUCCAGCAAAACAAAACAUGGCGGAAGGUAUGCGUUCCUUGUCUAAGGUCCAAAUGUAUGCAAUGA